rnacentral:tRNA from 1 species
GGACAGAUAAGCUAAAUUAAGCUAAUGGGCUCAUGCCCCAUAGAUAGGUUAUACCUUCUUUCCA